UCGGGAACUCUGAGACAGGUGCUGCAUGGCUGUCGUCAGCUCGUGUUGUGAAAUGUUGGGUUAAGUCCCGCAACGAGCGCAACCCUUAUCCUUUGUUGCCAGCGAUUCGGUCGGGAACUCAAAGGAGACUGCCGGUGAUAAACCGGAGGAAGGUGGGGAUGACGUCAAGUCAUCAUGGCCCUUACGAGUAGGGCUACACACGUGCUACAAUGGCGCAUACAAAGAGAAGCGACCUCGCGAGAGCAAGCGGACCUCACAAAGUGCGUCGUAGUCCGGAUCGGAGUCUGCAACUCGACUCCGUGAAGUCGGAAUCGCUAGUAAUCGUGGAUCAGAAUGCCACGGUGAAUACGUUCCCGGGCCUUGUACACACCGCCCGUCACACCAUGGGAGUGGGUUG
rnacentral:rRNA from 1 species